AUGGGGAAGGGCCGCAGCUGCAGGUACGGAUCAGAGCGGCUGCUCUACCCCGUCCAGGCCAGCGGUCACCACGUCGCUGGCGGCGCCGAUCACCUCGCCGACCUCGACGAGGAGGAUGUCUGGUCGGUGCUCGCGGCGCCUGCGCCCGACUCCAACCGCUCCACCGGCAGGCAACCUGAGCAAGAGCGUCGCGGGCGGUGGACCGCAGGGGGCCUGUCGCUGGCGUUCGAGGCAACGGCGUCCACGCCGGCCGGGCGCCACCAUCAUCACGUGGCGAGCUCGGCGCCUGUCAGGGUGCCCGAGUGGCCGGCGGCCAGGUUCCCGGCUGUGUCUGGCGAGCACGGCUACGGCGUGAGCUGCCGUGAGGAGGAGGGGGAGUGGAUGGCGCCGCACGAGUACCUGCAGGCCCAGGCACGGAGCAGCGGGCGCGGCACGGCGGCGCCGUCGGUGUUCGAGGGCGUGGGGAGGACCCUGAAAGGGCGCGACCUCAGCCGGGUGCGCGACGCCGUCUGGAGCAACACCGGAUUCUUCGGCUAA
rnacentral:rRNA from 1 species